UACGAAGGGGGCUAGCGUUGCUCGUAAUCACUGGGCGUAAAGCGCACGUAGGCGGGUCGUUAAGUCGGGGGUGAAAUCCUGGAGCUCAACUCCAGAACUGCCUUCGAUACUGGCGACCUUGAGUCCGGGAGAGGUGAGUGGAACUCCGAGUGUAGAGGUGAAAUUCGUAGAUAUUCGGAAGAACACCAGUGGCGAAGGCGGCUCACUGGCCCGGUACUGACGCUGAGGUGCGAAAGCGUGGGGAGCAAACAGG
rnacentral:rRNA from 1 species